rnacentral:rRNA from 1 species
CGGCACGGGUGAGUAACACGUAUCCAACCUGCCGUCUACUCUUGGACAGCCUUCUGAAAGGAAGAUUAAUACAAGAUGGCAUCAUGAGUCCACAUGUUCACAUGAUUAAAGGUAUUCCGGUAGACGAUGGGGAUGCGUUCCAUUAGAUAGUAGGCGGGGUAACGGCCCACCUAGUCUUCGAUGGGUAGGGGUUCUGAGAGGAAGGUCCCCCACAUUGGAACUGAGACACGGUCCAA